rnacentral:rRNA from 1 species
CCUACGGGAGGCAGCAGUGAGGAAUAUUGGUCAAUGGACGAGAGUCUGAACCAGCCAAGUAGCGUGAAGGAUGACUGCCCUAUGGGUUGUAAACUUCUUUUAUCUGGGAAUAAAACGUUCCACGUGUGGGCUUUUGUAUGUACCAUAUGAAUAAGGAUCGGCUAAAUCCGUGCCAGCAGCCGCGGGAAUACGGGGGGUCCGAACGUUAUCCGGAUUUAUUGGGUUUAAAGGGAGCGUAGGUGGACUGUUAAGUCAGUUGGGAAAGUUUGGGGCUCAACCGUAAAAUUGCAGUUGAAACUGGCAGUCUUGAGUACAGUAGAGGUGGGCGGAAUGCGUGGUGUAGCGGUGAAAUGCUUAGAUAUCACGAAGAACUCCGAUUGCGAAGGCAGUUCACUGGACUGCAACUGACACUGAGGCUCGAAAGUGUGGGUAUCAAACAGGAUUAGAUACCCUUGUAGUC